rnacentral:misc_RNA from 1 species
GAUGAAGAACGCAGCGAAAUGCGAUACGUAAUGUGAAUUGCAAAUUCAGUGAAUCAUCGAGUCUUUGAACGCACAUUGCGCCCCCUGGUAUUCCGGGGGGCAUGCCUGUCCGAGCGUCAUUGCUGCCCUCAAGCACGGCUUGUGUGUUGGGCCCCGUCCUCCGAUUCCGGGGGACGGGCCCGAAAGGCAGCGGCGGCACCGCGUCCGGUCCUCGAGCGUAUGGGGCUUUGUCACCCGCUCUGUAGGCCCGGCCGGCGCUUGCCGAUCAACCCAAAUUUUUAUCCAGGUUGACCUCGGAUCAGGUAGGGAUACCCGCUGAACUUAAGCAUAUCAAUAAGCGAGGA